GCCCCGCCCACACGCGCGGGCCGCCCCUCCCGGCUCAACUUCUGGGGGGGUCUCCGGACACAUCUGGAUGAUCCCGGCUAAAACAAGGGGCACCUUCGCCAUCCCCGGCACAUCUGGACGACCCCUGACUCCAGCCAGGCGACCCCGCCCCCCGUUCCAGCCACAUCUGGGCCUGUCCCCCACUCCCUGCCUCACAUCUGGGCACUCGCAAAUCCUGCCCCGUGUGCCUUCUCCGAACCUUUGUCGCCGACCACAAGAAGGUCCCUGAGUCUUUACGCAAUGGAAUUAUGACCAUCCUUGGAUUCUCUGCCUUGGCACUCCCAGGAAAUUGUGGAUGACGGAGCCAUGGGGAUGUCAAAAACCAGUGAAGUGAAGAGCAGCAGCAGGAAGCGAAAGAAUGACUUGGAAAAGGGACAGGACAAGCCAGAGGCGCUCCUGGUGAAGAAGGAGCUGGAAUGCACAGUGAAGCCUUCCACGGCAAAAGGGAAGAAGAAGAAACCAUCAAAAGUCAAGGAAAAGCCACUGCAGGAGAACGUCAUCAGCAGCUCCCUGAAGCAGGAGGCUGCCGAUGGGAAAGGCCUUGGCUCCAGCCUCUGGAAUGGGAUCCAAGCUGAGGAGGGAGCUGCGCCCGGGUCGGAGGAGACCAAAGCAACCUCCCCUCAAGGGCCAGCAGUGGGACUGGAAGGCUCUUCCAGGUCUCAGGAGAAAUCCCAGAGAACGGGACCUGCAGUGGGAGAGCAGCUCUUGGAGACCCAGAAUGGAAUUGGGGUCCCAAGUGAAGGUGUUGCUGGUGGGGUUGCAUCCCCCUCUGGAGAUCCCUUGGAGAGGGAUGUGGGGCUCAGAGGUGUGAGGGAGAGUGAGGAGAAGGAGCUGGAUCCCCCUAUCCCACAGCAGGAAGAGCAUUCCCAAGCCCUGAAAAGAAAAAGAGGGAAGAAACAAGAGGAAAAUAAGCAGGAAAAGGGAUUGAAGAGAAAAAGAGGGAAAAAACAGGAGGAAAACAAGCAGGAAAAGGGAUUGAAGAGAAAAAGAGGGAAAAAACAGGAGGAAAACAAGCAGGAAAAGGGAUUGAAGAGAAAAGGAGGGAAGAAACGGGAGGAAAAUAAGCAGGAAAAGGGAUUGAAGAGAAAAAGAGGGAGGAAGGAUAAAUCUGAGGAUUUGGUGGAUGGCAUUGAGGAGGAAGAGGGGGAUGAAGGCAGGAAUUGGGAAGGGGAACAGGGAAGAGCCAAAAGACAGAGAAGCAACAGCAGCCAGGGAUGGGAUGAUGGGAAAAAAAAGCAGGAGAAGGGGAAAGCAAAGAAGCACAGGAUGGGGAAAGUGAAGAGGGUGGAAAAGGUGGGGAAGAGGAAAAUGAAGAAGGAAAAAUUGCUGAAAGAGGAGCAAGAGGUGGAGAAAGAUGAGGAGGGAGAGAAAAGAGUGGAAGGUGAAGAGGAGGAGAAGGUGGGAAAAGGAAGUGGAGAUGGAAAAGAAAUAGAGAAGGAGGAAGAGGUGGUUGAGAAAGGGGAGGAAGGAUUGGGAGAGACUAGGAGUGCAGGGAUGGGGCAGGAGGUGAAGGUGGACAAGGAUAAUGGGAAGGGAGAUAUUCCAGGGAAAGAGAAAAAGAGGAAAAACAAGAAGAAAAAGCCAAAGGGGGAAACAAAAGAGACAAAGAGUGAAGAGGAGGAAAUCCCAGGGAAAACUUGGAAAAGGAAAUCUAAGGAAGGAGAAGAAAAUAAAGAGGAAGAAAAGAACAAUAAAAGGACUAAAAAACAGAAGGAAGAAGAAAAAGAAGCGGAAAACAAAUGGAAAUGGUAAAUUCCAGUGUGCCUUUGGCAGGUCUAACCCUGGGACUGGGUUUUAAAUUUUAUUUUGUGGGACAAAACAGUGAACAUUCCUAUUUUUUGGCUAUUUUCCUGUAUUGCCUUGAGCCUUGAACUCGCCACUCUUGGAAAUGGGUGAGAGAUCAGGGAAGGAGACCCUGAAUGCACAGCAGGA
ensembl:lncRNA